AUGCAGUCGAACGAAAUAUUUAGCACUUGUGUUAAAUAAUUUAGUGGCGAACGGGUGAGUAACACGUAAGAACUUACCCCUAGACGAGGUACAACAGUUGGAAACGACUGCUAAUACCUCAUAUUACCGGAAGGUGAAAGAAGCAAUUCGUCUAGGGCGAGGCUUGCGUCUGAUUAGCUUGUUGGUGAGGUAAUGGCUUACCAAGGCGACGAUCAGUAGUUGGUCUUAGAGGAUGAUCAGCCACACUGGGACUGAGACACGGCCCAAACUCCUACGGGAGGCAGCAGUGGGGAAUUUUCCGCAAUGGGCGAAAGCCUGACGGAGCAAUACAGCGUGGAGGAUGACGGCUCAUGGGUUGUAAACUCCUUUUCUUUGAGAAGAAUUUUGACGGUAUCAAAGGAAUAAGCAUCGGCUAACUCCGUGCCAGCAGCCGCGGUAAGACGGAGGAUGCAAGUGUUAUCCGGAAUUAUUGGGCGUAAAGAGUCCGUAGGGGGUAAGGAAAGUGUAAUGUUAAAGAUCAGGGCUCAACCCUGGGAAAGCAUUGCAAACUGUUGAACUAGAGUACGGUAGGGGUAGAGGGAAUUCCCAGUGUAGCGGUGAAAUGCGUAGAUAUUGGGAAGAACACCGGUGGCGAAAGCGCUCUACUGGACCGUAACUGACACUGAGGGACGAAAGCCAAGGUAGCGAAAGGGAUUAGAUACCCCUGUAGUCUUGGCCGUAAACUAGGUGUCGGGGGAAUCGACCCCCUCGGUGUCGUAGCCAACGCGUUAAGUGUUCCGCCUGGGGAGUACGCACGCAAGUGUGAAACUCAAAGGAAUUGACGGGGGCCCGCACAAGCGGUGGAGUAUGUGGUUUAAUUCGAUGCAACGCGAAGAACCCUUACCAGGGUUUGACAUCCUGCGAACCUCUUGGAAACGAGAGGGUGCCUUCGGGAGCGCAGUGACAGGUGGUGCAUGGCUGUCGUCAGCUCGUGUCGUGAGAUGUUGGGUUAAGUCCCGCAACGAGCGCAACCCACGUCUUUAGUUGCCAGCAUUUAGUUGGGCACUCUAGAGAGACCGCCGGUGAUAAACCGGAGGAAGGUGUGGAUGACGUCAAGUCAUCAUGCCCCUUACAUCCUGGGCUACACACGUACUACAAUGCUACGGACAAAGAGCAGCAAGUUCGCGAGGACAAGCAAAUCUCAUAAACCGUGGCUCAGUUCAGAUCGUAGGCUGCAACUCGCCUACGUGAAGGAGGAAUCGCUAGUAAUCGCAGGUCAGCAUACUGCGGUGAAUACGUUCCCGGGCCUUGUACACACCGCCCGUCACACCAUGGAAGUUGGCCACGCCCGAAGCCGUUACUCCAACCCUUGUGGAGGAGGACGUCGAAGGUG
rnacentral:rRNA from 1 species